rnacentral:rRNA from 1 species
CCUGAUUAAUAUAGGAGGUCCAGCCUGCCCAGUGACUCUGUUUAACGGCCGCGGUAUUCUAACCGUGCGAAGGUAGCGUAAUCACUUGUUCUUUAAAUGAGGACUAGUAUGAAUGGCAUCACGAGGGUUAUACUGUCUCCUUUUCCAAAUCAGUGAAACUAAUCUCCCCGUGAAGAAGCGGGGAUAAAAAUAUAAGACGAGAAGACCCUAUGGAGCUUAAAACUUUCAACAAUUAUAUUUUAUUUAUAAACCUAAAGGUAAUCAAACUAAUCCUUAUAAUAUGUUUGUUAGUUUUCGGUUGGGGUGACCGCGGAGUAAAACCUAACCUCCAUAUUGAAUUAAAUUAUUUAUUAGCAAAAAACUACAAUUUUAUGCAUCAAAAAAUUGACAUUAUUGACCCAAUAUUUUGAUCAACGAAC